GGGCGUGGNGNNNGGCGUCGUUANCAUGCAGUCGAACGGUGAAGCUCAAGCUUGCUUGGGUGGAUCAGUGGCGAACGGGUGAGUAACACGUGAGCAACCUGCCCCGGACUCUGGAAUAAGCGCUGGAAACGGCGUCUAAUACUGGAUAUGACACCAAUCCGCAUGGGUAUGGUGUGGAAAGUUUUUCGGUCUGGGAUGGGCUCGCGGCCUAUCAGCUUGUUGGUGAGGUAAUGGCUCACCAAGGCGACGACGGGUAGCCGGCCUGAGAGGGCGACCGGCCACACUGGGACUGAGACACGGCCCAGACUCCUACGGGAGGCAGCAGUGGGGAAUAUUGCACAAUGGGCGAAAGCCUGAUGCAGCGACGCCGCGUGAGGGAUGACGGCCUUCGGGUUGUAAACCUCUUUCAGCAGGGAAGAAGCGAAAGUGACGGUACCUGCAGAAGAAGCACCGGCUAACUACGUGCCAGCAGCCGCGGUAAUACGUAGGGUGCGAGCGUUGUCCGGAAUUAUUGGGCGUAAAGAGCUUGUAGGCGGUUUGUCGCGUCUGCUGUGAAAAUCCGGGGCUCAACCCCGGACUUGCAGUGGGUACGGGCAGACUAGAGUGUGGUAGGGGAGACUGGAAUUCCUGUGUUAGCGGUGAA
rnacentral:rRNA from 1 species